GGGGCCGUCGUCUAGUUUGGUCUAGGAUACCAGCCUGGGGCGCUGGCGAUCCCGGGUUCAAAUCCCGGCGGCCCCACCA
rnacentral:tRNA from 1 species